AAUGUACUCCCUCCGAUCCUAAAUUCUUGUCUCAAAUUUGCCCAAAUAUGAAUGUAUCUAUUCUUAAAAAGCGGCUAGAUACAUGUAAUAUUUUGACAACAAUUUAGGAUCGGAGGGAAUAUUAU
rfam:Brachypodium distachyon strain Bd21 chromosome 3, whole genome shotgun sequence.